UACGUAGGGUGCAAGCGUUGUCCGGAAUUAUUGGGCGUAAAGAGCUCGUAGGCGGUUUGUCGCGUCGAAUGUGAAAACUCGGGGCUCAACCUCGGGCCUGCAGUGGGUACGGGCAGACUAGAGUGCGGUAGGGGAGAUUGGAAUUCCUGGUGUAGCGGUGGAAUGCGCAGAUAUCAGGAGGAACACCGGUGGCGAAGGCGGAUCUCUGGGCCGUAACUGACGCUGAGGAGCGAAAGCAUGGGGAGCGAACAGG
rnacentral:rRNA from 1 species